GACGAACGCUGGCGGCGCGCCUAACACAUGCAAGUCGAACGGAGCGUACGGAAGGGAAAGCAUUUCGGUGUUUGAACAGAAGUAUUGCUUAGUGGCGAACGGGUGAGUAACACGUGAGCAACCUACCCUGAAGUGGGGGACAACAUUCGGAAACGGAUGCUAAUACCGCAUAAGACCACGGUGUCGAGUGACACUGGGGCCAAAGCAGCAAUGCGCUUUAGGAUGGGCUCGCGCCUGAUUAGCUAGAUGGUGAGGUAACGGCCCACCAUGGCAACGAUCAGUAGCCGGACUGAGAGGUCGAACGGCCACAUUGGGACUGAGACACGGCCCAGACUCCUACGGGAGGCAGCAGUGGGGAAUAUUGGGCAAUGGGCGAAAGCCUGACCCAGCGACGCCGCGUGGAGGAAGAAGGUUUUCGGAUUGUAAACUCCUGUCUUCGGGGAAGAUAAUGACGGUACCCGAGGAGGAAGCCACGGCUAACUACGUGCCAGCAGCCGCAGUAAAAC
rnacentral:rRNA from 1 species